CCUACGGGUGGCAGCAGUGAGGAAUCUUGGUCAAUGGCCGGAAGGCUGAACCAGCCAAGUCGCGUGAGGGACGACUGCCCUAUGGGUUGUAAACCUCUUUUAUAAGGGAAGAAUAAAUGCUACGUGCAGCAUGAUGCCUGUACCUUAUGUAUAAGCAUCGCCUAACUCCGUGCCAGCGGCCGCGGUAAUACGGGGGAUGCGAGCGUUAUCCGGAUUUAUUGGGUUUAAAGGGUGCGUAGGCGGUUUAUUAAGUUAGUGGUUAAACGUCGGGGCUUCACCUUGAUUGGCCAUUAAUACUGUAAGACUUGAGUUCAGACGAGGUAGGCGGAAUAAGUUAAGUAGCGGUGAAAUGCGUAGAGAUAACGAAGAACUCCGAUAGCGAAGGCAGCUUACCAGACUGCGACUGACGCUGAAGCACGAGAGCGUGGGUAGCGAACAGGAUUAGAUACCCUAGUAGUC
rnacentral:rRNA from 1 species